rnacentral:lncRNA from 1 species
GAGUCAAGGACUAGUGGGGUGAGAGCUCCGUGCGUACGGGUCUGAAACAUAGCUUAGGUUUAACUGCUUUUCUUUCCAGAAUUCCUAGGCAACGCACCUCCGAGUUGUGCAUCCGAGGUGUUGGGAGGAGGCUGUGGGGGAAACCUUGGGUGAUCCUCGUGGGGUGCCAUCACAUGAUCCUGGAUGAGGUGGAGUUCGGCUUUAAGGGGGCGUCUCUUCCUAUCUUCCUCAAUCUUUAGGGUUUGAGCAGGAGAAAUACCAACAGAUCUUUUCUCCCUCCAGUGACACUCGUCCCGCUUCAACAGAGGUGAACAGACGCAUUCUUUAAAAGUGAGAUGCAAACUCUUUCUGUAGAAAAGUACUGCUACUUUCCUGACCUUUAUUCUUUCUCGGAGAUUUACUAAGCUAUUAAAGAGUUGAAGACAUAGCCUGGAGUAUCUCUAAGUUCCAGGAUGAAGCAUGGUAACUGAACAAACUUUCUGUUCCUCACAAGAAUCCACAUACAAGCACACACUCAGUGGAGCUCAGUGAUCGGGCACCAAGAGAAGCCACAGAGUAUUCAGUUCAAGGGAAUGAAGAACUGAGAAUUAUCUUGGUGAAUGGAUUCAAAUAUAUGGAAUAAGAGUAUGCUGAAGAUUUGAUCCGUUUUGAAGAACUAUAACUGUCCAUUUAUCUAAUCGGUAAC